UAUACAAAGAGAAGCGACCUCGCGAGAGCAAGCGGACCUCAUAAAGUAUGUCGUAGUCCGGAUUGGAGUCUGCAACUCGACUCCAUGAAGUCGGAAUCGCUAGUAAUCGUAGAUCAGAAUGCUACGGUGAAUACGUUCCCGGGCCUUGUACACACCGCCCGUCACACCAUGGGAGUGGGUUGCAAAAGAAGUAGGUAGCUUAACCUUCGGGAGGGCGCUUACCACUUUGUGAUUCAUGACUGGGGUGAAGUCGUAACAAGGUAACCGUAGGGGAACCUGCGGUUGGAUCACCUCCUU
rnacentral:rRNA from 1 species